rnacentral:rRNA from 1 species
AUUGAACGCUGGCGGAAGGCUUAACACAUGCAAGUCGAGCGAGCGGCGGACGGGUGAGUAAUGUCCGGGAAACUGCCUGAUGGAGGGGGAUAACUACUGGAAACGUUAGCUAAUACCGCAUACCAUCAGAUGUGCACAGAUGGGAUUAGCUAGUAGGUGGGGUAAUGGCUCACCUAGGCGACGAUCCCUAGCUGGUCUGAGAGGAUGACGAGCCACUCGGGAACGGAGACGAGGUCGAGACUCCUACGGGAGGACGCAGGGGGGCAUAUUGCACAAUGGGCGCAAGCCUGAUGCAGCCAUGACGCGUGUGUGAAGAGUGCCUGCGGUUUGUAAAGCACUUUCAGCGAGUAGGCGUUACUCGCAGAAGAAGCACCGGCUAACUCCGUGCCAGCAGCCGCGGUAAUUC